rnacentral:rRNA from 1 species
GUGCCAGCAGCCGCGGUAAUACGUAGGGGGCUAGCGUUAAUCGGAAUUACUGGGCGUAAAGCGUGCGCAGGCGGUUUGUUAAGAUAGGCGUGAAAUCCCCGGGCUCAACCUGGGAACUGCGUUUAUGUCUGGCAGGCUAGAGUAUGGCAGAGGGGGGUGGAAUUCCACGUGUAGCAGUGAAAUUCGUAGAUAUUCGGAGGAACACCGGUGGCGAAGGCAGCCCCCUGGCCCGAUACUGACGCUCAUGCACGAAAGCGUGGGGAGCAAACAGGAUUAGAUACCCUGGUAGUCCACGCCCUAA